ACACGGACCAAGGAGUGUAGCAUGUACGCGAGUCAAUGGGAUUUUUCGAAACCCAGAGGCGAAAUGAAAUGUAAUGGCUUACGAACUGUUCGCGGUGCUAUUGGGUAUGCCAUGGUGCGCUGCGCUGUUCGAAUGUCGUGAUCCCGCAGUACCAAGUUGCUCGGGCGCAACGACGGCCCGUCAAAGCGGAACAACGUUUCCCUGACGGAGCUUGAGCGUACACGCUACGAUCCGAAAGAUGGUGAUCUAUGCCCGGGCAAGAUGAAGCCAGAGGAAACUCUGGUGGAGGUCUGAAGGGGUUCUGACGUGCAAAUCGAUCCUCUGACCUGGGUAUAGGGGCGCAAGACUACUCGAACCUUCUAGUAGCUGGUUCCCUCCGAAGUUUCCCUCAGGAUAGCUGGUGCUCGAAUGAGACACAGUCUCAUCCGGUAAAGCGAAUGAUUAGAGGUCUUGGGGUCGAAACGACCUCAACCUAUUCUCAAACUUUCAAUGGGUGAACGCUCCGCCUGCUCAAGCGAGGCGCGAGAAUCCCCGAUGUGAGCGCCUAGUGGGCCAUUUUUGGUAAGCAGAACUGGCGCUGUGGGAUGAACCAAACGUUGAGUUAAGGCGCCCGAUGCGAGAGAUGCUCAUGAGACCCCAUGAAGGGUGUUUGUUGCUUAANACAGCAGGACNGUGGCUAUGGAANUUGGA
rnacentral:rRNA from 1 species